rnacentral:tRNA from 10 species
GGGCAGUUAGCUCAGAGGGAGAGCGCUUCCUUGACACGGAAGAGGUCGUAGGUUCGAUUCCUAUACUGCCCACCA